rnacentral:rRNA from 1 species
AUGACUCUCGGCAAUGGAUAUCUCAGCUCUCGCAUCGAUAAAGAACGUAGCAAAAUGCGAUACCUGGUGUGAAUUGUAGAAUCCCAUGAACCAUCAAGUCUUUGAAUGCAAGUUGCACCUGAGGCCACUCGACCGAGGGCAUGCCUUCCUGGGCAUCACGU